rnacentral:rRNA from 1 species
AUUGAACGCUGGCGGCAAGCCUCACCCAUGCAAGUCGAACGAGUGGCGGACGGGUACGUAAUGUCUGGGAAACUGCCUGAUGGAGGGGGAUAACUACUGGAACCGGUAGCUAAUACCGCAUUCCAUCGGAUGUGCCCCUAUGGGAUUAGCUAGUAGGUGGGGGAAAGGCUCACCUAGGCGACCAUCCCUAGCUGGUCUGCGAGGAUGACCAGCCGCACUGGAACGGAGACACGGUGCAUACUCCUACGGGAGGCAGCAGUGGUGAAUAUUGCACUGUGGGCGCAAGCAGGAGGCAGCGAUGCCGCGUGUAUGAAGCAGGCCUUCGGGUUGUAAAGUACGUUCGGCGAGUAGGCGUUACCCGCAGAAGAAGCACCGGCUAACUCCGUGACAGCAGCCGCGGUAAUAC